rnacentral:rRNA from 1 species
GACUUGAGGUCGAGAGAGGUCGGAGGUACUCCUGGGGUAGCGGUGAAAUGCUAUAAUCCUGGGGGGACCACCAGUGGCGAAAGCGUCCGACCAGAGCGAGCCUGACGGUAAGGGACGAAAGCCAGGGGAGCGAACGGGAUUAGAUACCCCGGUAGUCCUGGCCGUAAACGCUGUGGGCUAGGUGUUGCAUGCUCUACGAGGGCAUGCAGUGCCGAAGAGAAGUUGAUAAGCCUACCGCCUGGGAAGUACUAUCGCAAGAUAGAAACUUAGAGGAAUUGGCGGGGGAGCACUACAAGGGGUGAAGUCUGCGGUUCAAUUGGAUUCGACGCCGGAAAUCUCACUGGAAGCGACGGCAGAAUGAUGGCCAAGCUGAUGACUUUGCUUGACGAGCCGAGAGGAGGUGCAUGGCCGUCGUCAGCUCGUACCGUAAGGCGUCCUGUUAAGUCAGGCAACGAGCGAGACCCGUACCCUUAUUUGUCAUCUGAUCCCUACGGGGAUCAAGACCCAUUAAGGGGACCGCUGCUGAU